rnacentral:rRNA from 1 species
AUUGAACGCUGGCGGCAGGCCUAACACAUGCAAGUCGAACGAGUGGCGGACGGGUGAGUAAUGUCUGGGAAACUGCCUGAUGGAGGGGGAUAACUACUGGAAACGGUAGCUAAUACCGCAUACCAUCGGAUGUGCCCAGAUGGGAUUAGCUAUUAGGUGGGGUAAAGGCUCACCUAGGCGACGAUCCCUAGCUGGUCUGAGAGGGUGACCAGCCACCAGGGAAGGGAGAAACGGUCCAGCCGCCGACGGGAGGCAGCAGUGGGGAAUAUUGCACAAUGGGGGCAAGCCUGAUGCAGCCAUGCCGCGGGUAUGAAGAAGGCCUUCGGGUUGUAAAGUACUUUCAGCGGGGAGGCGUUACCCGCAGAAGAAGCACCGGCUAACUCCGUGCCAGCAGCCGCGGUAAUUC